rnacentral:rRNA from 1 species
CACUAGUGAUUGGUGUUCUUCCCGAUAUCUACACAUUCCACCGUUACACCGGGAAUUCCAGUCUCCCCUACCGCACUCAAGCCCGCCCGUACCCGGCGCGGAUCCACCGUUAAGCGAUGGACUUUCACACCGGACGCGACGAACCGCCUACGAGCCCUUUACGCCCAAUAAUUCCGGAUAACGCUUGCACCCUACGUAUUACCGCGGCUGCUGGCACGUAGUUAGCCGGUGCUUAUUCGAAAGGUACACUCACCCGAAGGCUUGCUCCCGAUCAAAAGCGGUUUACAACCCGAAGGCCGUCAUCCCGCACGCGGCGUCGCUGCAUCAGGCUUGCGCCCAUUGUGCAAUAUUCCCCACUGCUGCCUCCCGUAUGAGUCUGGGCCGUAUCUCAGUCCCAAUGUGGCCGGUCGCCCUCUCAGGCCGGCUACCCGUCGUAGGCUCGGUGGGCCGUUACCCCGCCGACUACCUGAUAGGACGCGACCCCAUCCCAUACCGAUAUAAUCUUUCCCAGAAGGACAUGCAUCCAACUGGAGCAUCCGGCAUUACCACCCGUUUCCAGGAGAAUCGAAUUC